UGGGGAAUUUUGGACAAUGGGCGAAAGCCUGAUCCAGCAAUGCCGCGUGUGUGAAGAAGGCCUUCGGGUUGUAAAGCACUUUUGUCCGGAAAGAAAUCCUUGGCUCUAAUACAGUCGGGGGAUGACGGUACCGGAAGAAUAAGCACCGGCUAACUACGUGCCAGCAGCCGCGGUAAUACGUAGGGUGCAAGCGUUAAUCGGAAUUACUGGGCGUAAAGCGUGCGCAGGCGGUUUGCUAAGACCGAUGUGAAAUCCCCGGGCUCAACCUGGGAACUGCAUUGGUGACUGGCAGGCUAGAGUAUGGCAGAGGGGGGUAGAAUUCCACGUGUAGCAGUGAAAUGCGUAGAGAUGUGGAGGAAUACCGAUGGCGAAGGCAGCCCCCUGGGCCAAAUACUGACGCUCAUGCACGAAAGCGUGGGGAGCAAACAGGAUUAGAUACCCUGGUAGUCCACGCCCUAAAACGAUGUCAACUAGUUGUUGGGGAUUCAUUUCCUUAGUAACGUAGCUAACGCGUGAAGUUGACCGCCUGGGGAGCACGGUCGCAAAGAUUAAAACUCAAAUGAAUUGACGGGGUCAUAGCUGUUUCC
rnacentral:rRNA from 1 species